AACAUGAACUUCCGGUUUACCUGGUUUGUUGAUUACAGGUGUUCCUGAACCAGAAAUACUUACAUCACUAAUAAUUGUGUGGACGUGUAUAUGUUGCAGCGAUGUAGGACAGGAAGAUAAUACGACAUCCACCAAGUGUUAACCACCCCAAAGCAGUAAUAACCACCUGCAGUAGCGGAUGUUGCAGACGACGAGGAUGAGACAGAAUGAGCAAGUUUGAAGAGGAUGUGGAGGUCACAACUGCAGCAGCUACAACCACAACAACAACAGAUGAUGGCGGCGAUGUGGACAACGGCGACCAGGUUAUGGUGCCAGGGGAUGACACACCUAUCACCGACACGGUGGCUGCUAUCACAGUCGCCAUAUUAGCAGUCGUGUUGCUUCUCACAUUGCUGGUCAUAUUCCGUGCCUUACGUAAACGAAGACGUGCACGCCAGGGACAAAGGAUGGACGAUAUCCCUACUGUCUCAGCUGGCAUUAUGGGAGCUAGUGUCAGUGCCUACAACAACAUUCCAGUAGCAGGUCGAGUAACCUGGGAGCCAGUGUCACCAUCCACGUCCUCGGCCGAGCAGCCUAAUCUACAUAGAGACAUCCCUUCACCCAACAGACCUGGCCGCCACAAUAGAAGGUCAAGGCCACCAAGGGCAGCCAACUCACAAUCAAGUUAACAUCAUCUUCCAGUUCUAUCACUUCAGUCUAAGUAUACUAAGAACAUCAGUGAUAGAGACAUGGACCGAUGGGAGAUACCUCGUGCAUGCGGAAGGUGAUCAUGUCAAAGGUGUACAUUUAUUCAGUGUUUGUUAUUGACGUAUGGGUUAUGAGUCAACAUGUCUUUCACAACAAAAUGUUUCCAUUGUUUGUAUACAGUUCAAGUGGCCUGUUGUUGUGGUUUAAGGUAACAAACUAAAAGGGUCACUGGUUUUAUUUAUGUGAAAUUGAAUUUAAAAUGCUUGUUAAUAUUUAAUGUUUGAUUGUUAUUUUAAUUACAAUACUGUGAUUAUAGAAUUAAGUAUGAAAGAACGUUCCAUUGAAACAUUCAGUGUGUGAAAUAUUAGUGGUAGGAUUUUAGAAAAUCAAGCCAGAUGAUAUUUAUUCUGUCCAUCUCACAAAAUAGAUCUAAAAUCAAAUAAUUCUUGUUUCUAAUAGAUAUCAUGUAAUUUACAUUAACAGUUAAUACAUGAAAAGACAACAGUCAGUCAUAUUUGUUAUUGUUAAUAUUAAAAAGGAUCAACAAGUUCGAGUAUGUAGGGGGCUUAUUGUUUGUUAAAGGGGGUGAAGGAGGCAGUGAGAUAAGUAAAAUGAACCCCCAAUAAUUAUAAAUGACCAAUCCCUAAAAAUGGCUGAUAUAUCUCAUGUCACAACAGAUGAUAAUCUCCCAGCUAUGUUAAACUUCCACUGUUUCCACUUGUUUCCUUAUAUACCCUGUCAGCUGUGAUGUAGAAUGAUUUCUGUCUUUCGUGUUUCAUUUCUAAAGGGUAAAUAGAGUGAUAUUAAUGUGAGGAAAAUCAAAAUAUUAUGAGAGUGUUUUGUUAACAGUUUUACUUAUUUUGGCAUUUAGUGGCAUAUCACUGAUAUGUACCAUAUUGAUAUCACUAAUAUGUACCAUAUUGAUAUCACUGAUAUGUACCAUAUUGAUAUCACUGAUAUGUACCAUAUUGGUAUCACUGAUAUGUACCAUAUUGAUAUCACUGAUAUGUACCAUAUUGGUAUCACUGAUAUGUACCAUGUUGAUAUCACUGAUAUGUACCAUAUUCAUAUCACUGAUAUGUACCAUAUUGAUAUCACUGAUAUGUACCAUAUUCAUAUCACUGAUAUGUACCAUAUUGAUAUCACUGAUAUGUACCAUGUUGAUAUCACUGAUAUGUACCAUAUUGAUAUCACUGAUAUGUACCAUAUUCAUAUCACUGAUAUGUACCAUAUUCAUAUCACUGAUAUGUACCAUAUUGAUAUCACUGAUAUGUACCAUAUUCAUAUCACUGAUAUGUACCAUAUUGAUAUCACUGAUAUGUACCAUGUUGAUAUCACUGAUAUGUACCAUAUUGAUAUCACUGAUAUGUACCAUAUUCAUAUCACUGAUAUGUACCAUAUUGAUAUCACUGAUAUGUACCAAUACAAACUAGUACCAUAUUGAUAUCACUGAUAUGUACCAUAUUGAUAUCUCAUCCAAUUCCAGGAAAAGGUUACUUGAAAUGAAAAAGUUGGCUGUUCUGAAAUAAUCAUUGAAGUUGAUGAACAAUGGAAGAAUUCAAGCAUUUACACAUUUAAGGGGUUUUAUUGGUGCACUGAUGACUAACUGCUAAACACUGACACCGACUUUUGGUAGCCUUAGCAAGGAGAAUAUUAUACCAUAUGGUCUCUGUUGUGUCUGAGUGUGAGCAAAGCAAAUUGAAUAAUGAUGAUGUCAUUGCUUGUUUAAAGCCUGAAAGGCAGGACCAUUGUGUAUCUGGACAGCUUUUGGUUUCCUUCCAUGCUGAGACUGCUAUAGAUAAGGAAGUUUCAGACAGGAUAUUGUUUUGGUCAACACCCAAAAUCUGUUUCUCUGUCAGGAGGAGUCAGCAACAAUUAUUCUACUCAAAUCACAGAUUAUUCAGUACAUCAGUAUAUUUCAAGUGGAAAGCAGAUAUUUUUGUUUUGGGGUUGUUUUUAUAAAAAAAACUGGGGACAAACAGUUUCCCCGAGGAUCCCUUGGUGAGUUGGUAAUACCAGGUGUCCAUCCAUGCAUGUGUCCUUCCGUGUGAUAUUAUGUAUCUCAACUGUUCCAUGGCUCCCCAUGUCAGCUGUACUUACAUCCCAUACUGUUUUGUUUUCACCUGUAUGUGCUUGAUGAUACUCUCAGUCAGUAUGUACAUAGCAAAGUCAACAGGAGCAAGUUUUAAGUUACAAAUUUUCAACUAUGAAAACUGUACAAAGUUGUCUGCAAACAUGACAGUUCUAUUUUUCAAAUACAAACGUUACAGAUCGUAGCAUCUAUUUUUCAAAUACAAACGUUACAGAUCAUAGCUUUGUUUUGGGACUGAUCAACUAUUAGCGGGGAUGGGAGGAGUCAUAAAAAAUGCAACAUGUUGUCAAUGUCUUGUAGCCAGAGACAGGUCCAUUGUUUAUCAGUGACAAUGAAAAAAACAAUCAUGUCAAUAAGCAAUAUGUCAGAUUUAUGAAUAUGAAUUAACACUGAUUCACGGUUGUAUAGUACAUGCUUAUCUCCACCUGUAAACUACUUUCACAUGUUUCGCUUCAAACACCUGGACCAGCUGAGCACCUGGAGCAUCGAGUGAUAAGAUUGGUCACACAUCUCAAGAAUAACAUUUAGUCUGUGAUAUGAAAUAUUGAAUGUUCCUUUUUGUAAAUGCCUUUGAUUGUAUAAUAGAAAGGAGCUCAGAGAAUCUCAUCACUUUCAGAAAUUGAAGAAAUCUGAACUUGGGGCAUGCUAGUUAUAUUUGUUUCAUGAUCUGUAAGAACCUAGUCAACAGGUGUGCCCUGAGAACUGAAAUUUGUCAAUCAUGAUAUGAGAAACAUUCUCAUUUGAAAUAAGUAUGUAAAUUGAAUAGGUCAUGAGGCUUGUUUUUAUUUGUCUCUGUUUUUCUAGAAGGCAGAAACAGUUUGGCAACCUUUUGAACCCAGGUUAAACAAGAAAUGUUGACUCUUUAUAGAAUUUAUAAAAUGAACCAUAUGAUGUGAAUGUCUUUUCUUCUACAUUUCCUGACCUAAUAGUCAGUAAAUUGAAACUAUAUCCCAUAUAAUUGACAGGCAUGCAGUAAAAUCAAAUCCGAUCUGAGAUAGUGUUGGUGCAUUUUGUUGUUGUUGGACAUUGGUGUGGACCAGUUACCUAGUUGUUGUUACUACUUCACACUGAUGGUGGUGUGUCGGAGCUUUCAGGAGUCUCCAUUGCAGUGUGGUAUUAUAUGUACAUAUGGUAUCAAAUUUACUGAGAGCUAAUCUCUGCUACAUGGAGUUAAUCUCAGAGUUACCUGGAGUAACCUGGAGGUAAUCUCAGAGUUACCCGAACGUAUACUCAAGUUGUUGGCAUUACCAUUCAAGGUGAGAUCUGGACAGUGGGAGCAUAUGUAUCUGAUAUUACAUUAAUGUAACAGUUUUGAAGAUGUUCAUUGUGUAUGUAGACCAGCAUCCCGUACUAAGGUAAAAACCUUCCAUCAUGAAUAUUUCCUAUUAUUCUCGCUUCAUGGUAUAAUGAAUGUCUGUGAAACAAAAAUAUUAACUGCCUUGAGUGAAGAUGUAAACAAAGAUGUGUGGCUAGUUAUUGGUUUGUUAAGGUACAUAGGCAGGUGUGCUGCUUCGGAGGUUAUUAAGGCUCACUGCGAGGAAGAAUGAAAGGUUGCUUCUGUGUAGACUCAUUAAACUGUAAUCUUGAGACACAGGCUAUAGGGUGCAAUACUUUACCACAUCUAUACAACACAAGCAACAAUGUAUCAUUUGUGUAACAUCAUAACGUACUUGAGGGGAUAUAAGCAUUUUUAUUUGUCAGAGUCGACUAAUGGAAUCAGGUGGUCAGGUUAGGUGACUGGGUGGACACAUGAUGUUUAAUGACGAUGUUGAUCACAGAAUUGUCUGGUCCAGCCUCGAUUAUUUACAGACGCCGUCAUAGAGCUGGAAUAUUGCUAAGUGUGGCAUUAAACAACAUUGUAAAUCCGAGACUCCAAAUUUUAAAUCAGCCUCAGUCAAUAUUUAUCCUCUCUAUUAGAUAUAAGUAAUUACAGAUGUCAAAGUAGACACAAUUUAUGGAUAACAACUUCAUAAUACUGUUAUAGCUCCUGGGAGUCUUAGUCAGAUGCCAACUGCUAAAAAAAAAUGCCUAUCAAUGAGGUCUAUCUUUGUAUUUAUUUCUUGAAUAUUCAACUAGUAUGUAUGAAAUAUGACAGAGCUUUCAAGAAUCACAGUUAUUUUCUUACACUGUGUAUAAAAUAUAGCAAUACAUUGAAUAAAGCCAUGUUAUAUGCAAAUAUGAGAUGCUCAUAGUGUCUUAAUAUACCGGUAAUCUAUCUGAUGUUAGAUAUGGAUGUGACAUGGCAAUAUUGUAAUAUAUACAUUGCUUUUUAAAAAUCUUCAGAUACCGCAUGUGUUGCAGGCCAGUGUGCUGUUGGUCACUGCAUGCCAUUUCUGAAAGUGUGUAAAACAUAUUCUUUUAUAUAUUUAAGUGAAAAGGUCAUUUUAAUUGUGUACAUAAAAGACAUGGAGUGUUUUAGAAGCAUUUAUAUAUGUAUAUACAUUCAUGAUAUACAGCAUGUAAUAGAAUGAAAUGUUUGUUAUUUACAAGAUAAGAUUGCUAGUGUGUAUGUGUUUGUUGGUAACUGUGACUAUUGAUUAAAGACAAUGUACAGUUUUAUGAACAGAA